UAUGGAAACCCUACUCUAUUUGGACCAAUAUAUAUUUAUUUUUAUAUCUUAUAUUAUAUAUAUGUUAUUUUGUUGGGAAAUCUUCAGCCAAAAACAUUCCUCAUUUGCUUCUCUCUGCCGAGCAACCAAGCAGCCCUCUGUCCUUCCUUUUCUCUUGUUCUCUUCAGCUCAACUAGCAGCUUCAGCGUGAGCCUUGGGAGUGGAUGGCGUCUUUCUCCGGCAAGCAGAGUGGCAGAUCGAGACAGCAACAAGUCCGGCAGUGGUGGAGGCAGCUGGUUUCCUUCUUCGACGAACCCAGCAGCGGCAAGGUUUUCCCCUGCUCCGGCGUGUACAGAGCUCUUCCUCGGUCGAAGAAGGCAGCUUCUCCGGCGAAGUAACAGCAGGACAGCGUUCCCUUCUCAAACAGUCAGCCUUGGAGUUGAGUCAAGGACCAAGUGCGUAGCUUUGGAGCUCGGAUUAAAGAUGGGCCCAGCGUUUGAGAGUUGUUCGAGUUAGACUAGUUUAGUAGAUCUAAUAGUCUAAACUCUUGUUUUGUUUUAUGAUGUUAUGGAUGAUGGAUGUAGACACCUUAUGUUUUGUUGGUGGUAGACACCGGGUUACUUUUCCCCAAGUUACUUUGACGCAGUAGAUUUCGGAUAUUAGUUUGUUUUGGUGUUUAGUUCUAUCCUUAGCCUGUGCAAUCACCGUGGGAAGGUAGUUGUGGCGGUGACAUUCCCACUAGUUUGUUAAUU